rnacentral:lncRNA from 1 species
CCAUUUCCCCAACCCCGUUAAACUUUAGAUAGAAAUCCCUAACUCCUUUCCUUCCCUCCUCCCUUUUUUUCCCCAAAUCGAAAACCCACCUCCAGUCCCCACUGAUCCACCAUCCCACCUCCGGUCUCCGGUCCUCCAGCACUCCACCUCCACUCCACGACACUAGGUGGCAUUGUUGUUCUCUUCACUUCGAUUCUUCUGCAACUUCCGACCCAAACCCUUCAAAUCAACAAGUUCAAGGUAAAAUGCUUCGAUUCUUCUUCACUUUAGUUUUCAUUUUAAUCAUGUACUUAAGAGAAGGCUGCUCUUUAUUGCUGAGUUUAGUGACGGUGACAUGCUUCGAUUUUUAAUAUACUGUUGCGGUGUUGCCAUGUUCUCUUUGAACUUUGAAGUCAUUUGCUAGUGCUUUUCUGUAAAAAUUGUCUAGAUGGGCUUGAUCAUUUUCCAGAUUUUGGCAUGUCCUUUCUACCUUUAUCUUUCAAAUUUAUUUUAUUUAAAUUCAAUAAUAAUAUUAUAUAUAUUAUUACGUGGAUCAAGCUUGAUUAUAUGCAGCGGAAAUGACUUCAAUCGUACUUCGAUUUCCAUUUUUAAUGAAGUUAGUACUUCAAGAAAAAAAAUCAGAUUUUAGAUAAAUUUUUAAUUUCAAAUUAAAAGAAAAACUGUUUAAAGUUUAAAUAAAAAUUAUUAAGUAUAUAUUUUUAAAAUGAUAUGGAAUGGUUGAGUAAGCCUAAAUUGUCCAUUUAACUUUACAAAGACAAAUUUUUAUAUUUAAAUUACAUCCAACUUUGUUUUUUUGGGGUCUUGUUGAGGAAAAGUCAAUCUAUAAAGGAUUGUACUGUAGCGGGGUUUUGUUUUUCGUAGAGUUUCAGUUAGUAAAAAUACAUUUUGUAAGCUCAUGGGAUCAAUAUCUAUAAUUAAUAUUAUGUAUAAUAUUGAUAUUUCUUGUGAAUUUGCAGAUCAUAUCUCUAUUGGUCGAGGUAUUCCUUAAAUUUAGUGAACCUAAUGAUCUCUCGAACACUGUUUUAAAUUCUCUUAGUACAACACUGUUUUAAAUUCUCUAAUAAGGAGCCUAUCUACAUUUAUAUCCAUAUGUUAUUUCUUCUUGUAUGAAAACAGACCAAGCAAGUUUUAAUGAACAUAAGAGAAAUAGGACUUUGAUAAUGAAAUGAUUUUAAUACGUCUAAGAACAUGUUCACUACUGGUCCAAAAAAACAAACAACCAACCCUCUGUAGCAGUCAUGACAAUCCCAGUACCAGCUCUUUGAAAAAUCGAGUCUUUUAUUGUAGCAAAGGUCGUUUAACUGGCAUUCACAUGGGUCUAAUUUUGUCUUGUCUCCUAUCCUAUGGAACACCAAUUCGACGGCAGGAGAAAUGAGAGCUACAUUAUAUCUUCUAGGGGCGUAGAUGCUGCAACUCUUUGCUCAUUCUUACUUCACUUCUUACAGUAGUAACAUUUCCCAUUGUAUUUUGUACAUGUUUUUCAUAAUUUUAAUCUCAUCUUUUUUGUUUUUGCUUUGUUUUAUUGCAGAAACAAGCUAUUGAGGCAGAAAAACAGCAGGCCCAGUCAGGUUGCUAUCACUUAGAGGUUACUAUCACACCCUUUCCUUCGAAACAAUCAAACUCAAAUCUUUUCAUAAAUGAUGUGUGGUUUUUUAGUAUUACUUAAAGACACGUGACAAGUUUGAUUUGUAUCACAGGGCUAGCAUAGUUAAAUAAUAUUUAAAUUCAAUUAAUUGGUAAUUUUUUAAACUUACAGUGUAUUAGUUUAGUGUAAUACUACAUCAAUUCUAACAUAAAGUUUAUAGAUAACAUGAUGAAAGUUAUUAUUUUAAUUUUUUUUCAUUAUAUACAAAAAAAUAUAAUUUGAUAUUUGAUAUAACCUUAAUAACAAUUAGUUUUAACUUUUAAGUAAAAAAAGGGCCGGGCCGGGCCUGGGCUUCAUAUUUUUCCACGGGUCGGGUUUGGGUUACAUCUUAGGCCCAUAUUUCGGGUCGGCCCGGGCCCAGGCCGAGUAAGCAGGCCGAAAAUUUUUUUGGGCCCGGCCCGGCCCAUGAGCACCUCUAAAGGCAAUGGAAUAAUGGGAAAAAAAUUUUAAGUAUUUUUUUUCCUUUUUCUUUUAAAUUUUUAGAAUUAGAACUAAAUUAACAUAUUUUGUAAAUGUUGAAACUUAAAUUUAUUGAUUUUUUAGAAUUCAAACUAAAAUAAUAAAUUUUGUAAAUAUUAAAGGCUAAAUUUGUUGAAUUUUUUAUUAAAACAAAUUGAUAGAAUGUAUAAAUAUUGUAUCACUAAAUUUAUUAUUAGGCCAAUAAAAAAUCUCACAUCAACUAUCCAUAACACGUUUGAUUGAUUAAAUCGAAAAAUAUUAAAGGUAUAGUUGAAUGAUUAUUUUUAUAAUUUAUCCUAAAGUAAAUUAUCACAUUAUAUAUUUAAUGCUUAAAACUUUACACAACUUAAAAUAAUUAUAAUUAUAAAUUAUAAAUUAAUUAUAUUUUUUUAAAUUUAGUAAUAUAAUAAAAAAAUAUUCUUGCCAAUUCAAAAACUUUUUCAAACUCUUACAUUUAAAUAUUUAUAUAUACGAAAUAACUUACAUUAAGAUGAUCAUAAAAACUAAUGUUUUUAGGCACCAAUAAAAUUUUGUCACACCAUCACAAUUUAAAGACAUAAAAUUAUUAUUAUACACUCAUUCAAAAAGAAAUUAUUUUAUGGACCCUACCCACCACAUUAUUCAUGGUCUCUUUCCAAUUAUUUAAUAAUAUUUCAAUAAUUUUUUCCACGUACACAAAAUUUUGGUAUUUUUUUACCUUGAACGCUGAAUCUAGAAUCCCGAACACUAAACCCAAAAUAUAAAACCCCAAACUCGAACAUUGAACCCGUAACCCCAAAGUCUUGAACUAUGAAACCUAAACUCGUAACUCUGAACCCAUAAACCUUGAACCCAAACCCUUGAAGCCCAAACUUGAACCCCAAACUCGAAACCCAAAUCCUCAACCUUAAAUCUCGAACCUAAACCUUAACCCGCAAGGUUUGGGGUUCAAGGUUUAAGUUCAAGAUUCGAGGUUCGGGGUUCAAAGUAAAAUAAUUACCAAAAUUAUAUAUCAAUGACAUAGAAAAAUUGCAUAAAAAUUGCUAUUUUUUAAAAUUGGUUGCACAAAAAUAAAAAAAAUAUUAAUUUAUGGAAAAAAACAAAAUAAUUAAAAUUUAUAAAAGAAGAAAAGAUGUUUGUUUAUAAUUUAAAAAAAUUAAUUAUUUUAAGUAAUUUAAUUAAAGUUAAAUUAAGUUAAAGAAGAUAUUAGAUAUAGAUUAGUGUAUAAUAAUACUUUGUUAUCUUUAAAAUUUAAUGACAUGACACUAUUUUAUUGGUGCCUAAAAAUUGUACCUUUUAGGAUGAUUCUAAUAUAAUUUAUUCCCUUAUAGUAAUUUUAUAUCUUUAAAAUGUAAUGAUGUGGUAAAUUUUUAUUGGUGCAUAAUGUAAGUUAUUCCCUUAAAUUAAAUUGUAGGUUGUAAUAUCAAGGGAAAAUAUGCCGUUCAUUAUUAUUAAGGGAAAAGGUUAGUAGUUCGUAAUUGGAGUUUUAGAAUGCGAAGAUGUGUUGAUAUUAGUUCACUAUUUUUGUCUAUAAAAAUAUUGUAAAAAGAAGCUAAAAUAGGUGGAGGAAUAAAUCCAUGCCAGAGGUGGAGAGAAUGAAAGAGAAUAUGAUACUUAUUCAAUGAAUAAGCUUCAGGAAUUUUAAAUGUCUUACGUAACAAUGAAGAAAAUGGAGCAUGUAAUUGAGCGUGAACACACAUGCAUCGAUACAGAGAAAACUUUGAGCAUCCAUGUCGAGGCAACUAACAAGAAAUAAUGGUCAACAAAGAUGAACUAGAGCUUAAGGACACCAAUAUUAAUGGAAGUUGAUAACUCAUGAGCUUCUUUAAUUAAUGUAAGCCAAAUCCUUUGAAGGUCUCAAUUCGAUUAACGGGGUCAUUACUGAAUGAAAAUAGUUAUAAUAACUCUUAAAUUAAUGAAGUGGACAAUGAGAGUCUAACCUAAAAAAUAAUCGAAGAGAAGAUAAAUUCUUAAUUUAAAAAAAAGAAAAAUUUAAACUCUUAAAAGUAUCGAGAAUGCACUUUGAUCAAAUGUUAUAAAAACCUUAAAAGAAAAGAAAUAUCAAAAGGAGGAGAGAGGUGCAAACACUAGUUAACAAAAGUGAAAAUAUACGAAUGAGUUUCUUAUCAAUUCUAAUAUUCAAAACGGGAAUUCUGCACAAAAACUUAAAAUAGACAUGGAUGAUAGACAAGCUCAUCGAACGAUUAACAAUUUAUGAUGACCGGGUAAUUAAUCAAUAUACUGAUUAAUCUUGAGGUAUAUAAUAUAAUUAAAUUAUAAUAAGAUUUUCUUUGUGAAAAAAGUACAUAUAUUGUGACAGUUAUUAUUUUUGCAUGUAUCCUUUUUAUUUCAAUGGUGAAUUAAUUAUUUGAAUAUACAGUAUUUUUUAAACCUAGAAAUGAUAGUAUUUUUACUUUGGUAUAAUAAUAAAGUUUACUCUUUUUUUUGUCACUCUAACUCUUAUCCAUCAAAGUUGAGUCAAUUUAUCAUUUUUUAAGUGAAAAAGUGUAGUCAAUUUUUACCCUUAUCCUUGAAAGUUUAGUCAAAUUUUAAAAAAAUUAAUGCAACCAACAUACCAGUUCGCUUGACAAGGCACAUGUUCUACAUAAAAUUUCAAAAAAUUAAUAAAACUUUUAAAACUUUAAUAAUUUUAAAAAGUUCAACAAAUUAACCAUUUCACAAAUGUAGUAUACAUGGAAAUUAUCACGUAGGCGGUCACAUUAGUGUCAUUAAAAUUUUAAAAUAAAGAUAAAAUUAUUUUAAUAUGUAGUGGCUUAAAAUUUUAUAAAUUAUAUGAAUUAUUUUUUUUACCAAAAAAUGAUUUUAUGUUAUUAAAUAUUGCAAAUAUUAGUUAUAUUAAAAUUUUCUGGUCCAUUAUUUAAAAUAUACAUUACUUACUACAGCUACGAUUGUUUCAUUGGAAAACUUUGAAAUUUGAUAGCAGUUACAAGAUGUGCAUGGUGGAGAUUUGGAAAAGGUUUGAAAUUUGUGUCUAUGAUUCUUUGGACUUCCAAGUUUGUUUUUCCACAUAGGUGUCAGUUUAUCUUAAAUCAACGUGGCUAGUUUACACCAUAAUCAAAGCCAUGCAUGUUGGCAAGCACAAGUGUAUUCUGCAGUGUCAAAUUGAAAGGUUAUUUUGUUUCUGUGAUUCCAAACCUUUACAUUGCUGUCGAGUUCGCAUUUGGUCUGUUUAUCUGAUGCCAAAUUGGUUUAUUUCUUUGUUCUUUGUGUAAGGAGGUUGGAAUCUUGCUGUUUUGAGAAAGAUCAUGAAUCAAGUUAAGAGGCCAAUGGUUUCAAUUUUCAAACUUAUUUUAUUGGGUUCAAGUAAGAAUCUUGAAUUGUGAAACCAAAUAAGAGAUUCUUUUCCACCAUAGCUAAUUCAUUCCUUGUAAGCUACAAAUAUGGUUAACUAUUGAUUCCUGUGUGCCAGCCUAGCAAAAGAAUAAGAAUAUUCUAGGUACUAUAAAUUUGAACACAACAUGGCGUGGAAAUUACCACUUAC